rnacentral:rRNA from 1 species
GUGGGGAAUAUUGGACAAUGGGCGGAAGACUGAUCCAGCAACGCCGCGUGAGGGAUGACGGCCUUCGGGUUGUAAACCUCUUUCAGCACAGACGAAGCGCAAGUGACGGUAUGUGCAGAAGAAGGACCGGCCAACUACGUGCCAGCAGCCGCGGUAAUACGUAGGGUCCGAGCGUUGUCCGGAAUUAUUGGGCGUAAAGGGCUCGUAGGCGGUUUGUCGCGUCGGGAGUGAAAAAACCGGGCUUAACUCGGUGCUUGCUUUCGAUACGGGCAGACUAGAGGUAUUCAGGGGAGAACGGAAUUCCUGGUGUAGCGGUGAAAUGCGCAGAUAUCAGGAGGAACACCGGUGGCGAAGGCGGUUCUCUGGGAAUAUCCUGACGCUGAGGAGCGAAAGUGUGGGGAGCGAACAGGAUUAGAUACCCUAGUAGUCC